CGAAACACACCAGACCGCUCCUCUAAGGUCCCCAAAACCUUCUUCCCACGCCUCGCGAAAUCCUAAAACCCCAAAACCCGUCAACCAGCCCACAACCAUGUCGUCCUUCGCCGCCGCCAGAUCCGUCCUCCGCUCCUCUGCGGCUCGAACCACCGUGGCCUCGAGGCUUGCCUCCGCCCCCAGACCCAAACCAGCCUCCUCACCAUUUCGCGUGCCCAAACCAACCCAAAGCCUCUCGGCUCCUCGCAUUUUCAGGUCGCCUGUGGAGUUGAGCUGCUGCGUAGAGACGAUGCUUCCGUACCACACAGCCACAGCCUCUGCAUUGCUCACUUCGAUGCUCUCCGUCUCUCAGCGCUCCUACGGUUGGACCCCCGAAGAUUGCAAUGAUGAUGUAUGAUGAAUGUCAGAGGGUUCGAGCAAAGUUUUAUGUACUUGCGCUCUAAGACAAGAUGGAUGAUUGUUAUCUGUUGGGAUGCAGUGCAUCGGUCGUAGUUUUCAUGGAUUUCAGUGGACUUUGUAGGACUUGCUUGAGACUUGAGGCAUGCUUCAUCCUAGUUUAAUCCACAGAAUUAUACUUGUUCUACAAUCAUUCACGUAAGUAGAUGCCAUGAUGAUGAUUUACGUUGUCUUUAUAAUUAAUUUUUCGAUCUUGGAAUCCCGAUGAUAUGACGAGGUUGAGGUCAAACGUUUUGAUGCAAUUUCCAAUCUCCGGUCUUCUUGA